rnacentral:rRNA from 1 species
AACGAACGCUGGCGGCAGGCUUAACACAUGCAAGUCGAACGGUUGUAGCAAUACAGCAGUGGCGCACGGGUGAGUAACACGUGGAUAUCUACCUUUUGGUUCGGAAUAACCCUGGGAAACUAGGGCUAAUACCGGAUGGUUCCUACGGGAUAAAGAUUUAUCGCCAAAAGAUGAGUCCGCGUCCGAUUAGCUAGUUGGUGAGGUAACGGCUCACCAAGGCGACGAUCGGUAGCUGGUCUGAGAGGACGAUCAGCCACACUGGGACUGAGA